rnacentral:lncRNA from 1 species
GGAGACUUAAUUAGUGCCUCCUCGCUGUCGUCAACCCGUGAUUUCUUCAGCAGCACGAAAUGUUAAGGCAUAUCGGAGGCUGGAGGCGUGAUUGAGGACUUACCUCAUGAUGGCUCAGUGUAUGGGAGAUGGGCUAAACCAAAUACAGAAGCUUGGGGUGUACGUGAGCAACAUGAGUUGUGUAUACAUGAUGGUAAUCUACUCCAUCCGUCCUAAUUUUUUUAUCUUAGGUUUAUCUAAAAAUGAUUUUAUUAAAAUACUAAAACGUGAAUAUAUACAUUUAUAUCUACACAAAUAUAAGACAAUAAUUUUAAGACGAAGGAAGUAAUUUUUAUCUACUGAAUUUAUGUUAGAGUACUAAACGUGGGCUUUUAGGACUCUGAAGCAGCAUUGACGUGAAGGCUUUUUGGUGCGGCAUGUGGUAUGGAUUAACGUGGUCAGGUUACGUGUAGAUUGGACCAAUUUAGAUCUUUUAUUUUGAAAAAUGCUAACGCUCACACGUGUGGUAUGUGGCCUAAACAUCUUCAUUACCAUUGAAAUCUUUUUUAAUUUUUGGUUUAAAAAUGUUUAAUCUCCUAAUUUAAAAAUAUAAUCAAAAUUCCGUUUUUAUUAUUAAAUUUGUCUCGACGAGAUCUUCAAAACUAGAUCCUAUGUUGAUAUG